rnacentral:rRNA from 1 species
ACGUAUCGUUAUUUGGUGGUCUUUCUUACAUGGAUAACCGUGGUAAUUCUAGAGCUAAUACAUGCGCCCAGACCCGACUUCUUGGAAGGGUUGUGUUUAUUAGAUACAGAACCAAUCCACGCCCGGCCUGGUCCUUUGGUGAUUCAUAAUAACCGAACGAAUCGCAUUGCGUUUGCUGGCGAUGAAUCAUUCUUGUUACCGACCUAUCUUCUUACGACGGGAGGUUGUUGACCUACGGUGUCAAUGACGAGUAACAAAUAAUUAUGGUUUUAUUUCAGAGAGGCAGCCUAAAAGGCGGCUACCUCAUCGAAGGAAGGCAGCAGGCCCACUAAUUACCCCCUCCUGACGGAGGGAGGUAGUGACAAUAAAUAACAAGGCGGGGCCUCCCUGUCUUGUUGUUGGAAUGAGAAUUAUUUAACUCUCUUUAUGAGUAUCUGUAGGGGGGGUUUGGUGUAAUAUA